rnacentral:rRNA from 1 species
CAGCAGCCGCGGUAAUACGUAGGGUGCAAGCGUUAAUCGGAAUUACUGGGCGUAAAGCGUGCGCAGGCGGUUCUAUAAGACAGAUGUGAAAUCCCCGGGCUCAACCUGGGAACUGCAUUUGUGACUGUAGAGCUGGAGUGCGGCAGAGGGGGAUGGAAUUCCGCGUGUAGCAGUGAAAUGCGUAGAUAUGCGGAGGAACACCGAUGGCGAAGGCAAUUCCCUGGGCCUGCACUGACGCUCAUGCACGAAAGCGUGGGGAGCAAACAGGAUUAGAUACCCCCGUAGUCCCUGUCUCUUAUAC